GGACGUGAGGGUGAUCGGGCUGCGAUGUCAGCACCCCACUGACUGCCAGGGUUGAGUCGGCUGAUCUGGCUGGCUAGGCAGGGUCCCCUUCCUCCCUCACUGCUCCACGUGUCCCUCCUGAAGCUGCGUGCUGAGUGGAAGAGGACAACCACCCUGACAGAGGAGACCCGUUUCCUCAGUCAAGAGCAUCUGCAUAGCUGCACAACCCUUCCAAAUAAGCUCCUGGAGGGGCUAGGGAUUUAGCUCAGCGGCAAA
rnacentral:snRNA from 1 species